GAUGAACGCUGGCGGCGUGCCUAACACAUGCAAGUCGAGCGAUCUUCUUCGGAAGAGAGCGGCGGACGGGUGAGUAACGCGUGGGUAACCUGCCCUGUACACACGGAUAACAUACCGAAAGGUAUGCUAAUACGGGAUAACAUAAGAAAUUCGCAUGUUUUCUUAUCAAAGCUCCAGCGGUACAGGAUGGACCCGCGUCUGAUUAGCUAGUUGGUGAGGUAACGGCUCACCAAGGCGACGAUCAGUAGCCGACCUGAGAGGGUGAUCGGCCACAUUGGAACUGAGACACGGUCCAAACUCCUACGGGAGGCAGCAGUGGGAAUAUUGCACAAUGGGCGAAAGCCUGAUGCAGCGACGCCGCGUGAGCGAUGAAGGCCUUCGGGUCGUAAAGCUCUGUCCUCAAGGAAGAUAAUGACGGUACUUGAGGAGGAAGCCCCGGCUAACUACGUG
rnacentral:rRNA from 1 species